UGACCAUGAGACUCUUCUUCAACUCAACAACACAGUGAGUGUUGGGUUCUAAUACUUCAAAAAUUAGGAAGAGUUUGACUAAAUGUGAGAAUAGUGAGGCCAACAUACCGCUCUUUCAGACCCUUCAUGUCAAAUGACACAGAGUCCAAUGAAACAGAGAUUCCUUUCCCCUUUCAGUGAGUACGUUUAUGGGUCUAGAUUUGUAUAGUGUUGAAUCCAAAUGUUGUAAACUAUUUAGAGCGCCAAGUAGCCUAGCGGUUAGAGAGGUGAGCCAGUUUGAAUCCCGGGUCUCAAAUCCUAGUUGCCAUUGCCUACCGUUAUGCCUUUGAACAAGGCACUUAACCCCCCACUAUAACAUCUCCCCGGGAGGCCAGUGUGGCAGCCCCCCGCACCUCUCCAAAAUUAUGUAUGUGUGUCUUUUCAGAGGGGUUGGGUUGAAAGUGGAAGUACAAUUUCGGUUGGACCUUGUGAUUUGUUCUAUCGUUACAGAAUGAUACUUCCUAUGGAGAAUAUGAGUCCGUUCUUGGAUUACGACCACACAAUACCGCCAGAGGAGACCCAUGUUCCUUGGAACAACACUGACACAGAGUAUGGCUCAACGCCUGAGGAGUUGAUGCAGUCGGAACGAGACAGAUAGCAACUCAACAUUACCUGUGUGAGUUCUCUUAUACUAUUAUUAUAAACAGGCAUCUACCCUUUCAUUUUUCACAUGUUCCAAUAUGUCAUUAAUCAUUUAUUUCACCUCUACUGCACAAAGACACAGGUACAACGGUCCUCCACUCCUUAAGGGAAAGAAAACGUCCAUUGUAAAUAUGUGUUUUCAGUCAGUCAUCAUACAUUUUAUCAGUAGGUGGCGCUUUAACUCUGAAAGGAGGGAAGACAAAAAGCAUUACAAAACUGUACAUCGUUGAAGUGAAAUCAAUGUUUCCUCUGUCCUUCUUGGCAACUCUUUUUAGGCAUGAAUAUUAUGCAGCAGCUCCUCAAGGCUGCGUGGUGAGUCUCUGUGCCCUGGGCCAUAUACAGAUCCAGGGCGGAGACGAGAGUACAGGCGGGGCAACCAGAGACCCACAUGGCAACAGCAAGAGAUGAGAGGAAGAGCAGUGGAGGAAGAUGAGAGGAAGUGUAAUGUAGGGCCUCAUACAGGAGUUGCUGGCUGUGCUCUAUUGCUCUUAAGCCAUUACUUUUCUUUCUCUGCUUUCCUUUGUCAUCACUGAUUUGGAAGGACAAGAGGAUUGAGAGAAACGUUGAAAUAUUUAGUCACUCCACCUGCCUAUUGCUUAUGUGCAGCACUUGGUGAUGGAGGAGAGGACACAAUAGGAGUGUAGUUGUACAGAGGGUGUAAUUUGUGU